AUUGAACGCUGGCGGAAUGCUUUACACAUGCAAGUCGAACGGCAGCACGGGGCAACCUGGUGGCGAGUGGCGAACGGGUGAGUAAUACAUCGGAACGUGCCCAAUCGUGGGGGAUAACGUAGCGAAAGUUACGCUAAUACCGCAUACGAUCUACGGAUGAAAGCGGGGGAUCGCAAGACCUCGCGCGAGUGGAGCGGCCGAUGUCAGAUUAGGUAGUUGGUGGGGUAAAGGCUCACCAAGCCAACGAUCUGUAGCUGGUCUGAGAGGACAACCAGCCACACUGGAACUGAGACACGGUCCAGACUCCUACGGGAGGCAGCAGUGGGGAAUUUUGGACAAUGGGCGCAAGCCUGAUCCAGCCAUUCCGCGUGCAGGAUGAAGGCCUUCGGGUUGUAAACUGCUUUUGUACGGAACGAAACGGCGAGCUCUAAUACAGUUUGCUAAUGACGGUACCGUAAGAAUAAGCACCGGCUAACUACGUG
rnacentral:rRNA from 1 species